rnacentral:rRNA from 1 species
UAUUGCGCAAUGGGGGAAACCCUGACGCAGCGACGCCGCGUGAGUGAUGAAGGCCUUAGGGUCGUAAAGCUCUGUUGAAUGGGAAGAAACAAAUGACGGUACCAUUCGAGAAAGGGCCGGCUAACUUCGUGCCAGCAGCCGCGGUAAGACGAGGGGUCCUAGCGUUGUUCGGAAUCAUUGGGCGUAAAGCGUGUGUAGGCGGCCACGUAAGUCAGUUGUGAAAGCCCCGGGCUCAACCCGGGAAGUGCUUCUGAUACUGCAUGGCUUGAGUACUGGAGAGGAUAGUGGAAUUCCAGGUGUAGUGGUGAAAUACGUAGAUAUCUGGAGGAACACCGGUGGCGAAGGCGGCUAUCUGGCCAUGUACUGACGCUGAGACACGAAAGCGUGGGGAGCAAAC